AUUGAACGCUGGCGGCAUGCCUUACACAUGCAAGUCGAACGGUAACGGGUCCUUCGGGAUGCCGACGAGUGGCGAACGGGUGAGUAAUAUAUCGGAACGUGCCCAGUAGUGGGGGAUAACUGCUAGAAAGAGCAGCUAAUACCGCAUACGAUCUGCGGAUGAAAGCGGGGGACCUUCGUGCCUCGCGCGAUUGGAGCGGCAGAUGUCAGAUUAGGUAGUUGGUGGGGUAAAGGCUCACCAAGCCAACGAUCUGUAGCUGGUUUGAGAGGACGACCAGCCACACUGGGACUGAGACACGGCCCAGACUCCUACGGGAGGCAGCAGUGGGGAAUUUUGGACAAUGGGCGCAAGCCUGAUCCAGCAAUGCCGCGUGCAGGAAGAAGGCCUUCGGGUUGUAAACUGCUUUUGUACGGAACGAAAAGCCCCGGGUUAAUACCCUGGGGUCAUGACGGUACCGUAAGAAUAAGCACCGGCUAACUACGUGCCAGCCGCCGCCGUAA
rnacentral:rRNA from 1 species